AACAGGGAUUGCCCUAGUAACGGCGAGUGAAGCGGCAACAGCUCAAAUUUGAAAUCUGGCUCUUUCAGAGUCCGAGUUGUAAUUUGCAGAGGGCGCUUUGGCUUUGGCAGCGGUCCAAGUUCCUUGGAACAGGACGUCACAGAGGGUGAGAAUCCCGUACGUGGUCGCUAGCUAUUGCCGUGUAAAGCCCCUUCGACGAGUCGAGUUGUUUGGGAAUGCAGCUCUAAAUGGGAGGUAAAUUUCUUCUAAAGCUAAAUAUUGGCCAGAGACCGAUAGCGCACAAGUAGAGUGAUCGAAAGAUGAAAAGCACUUUGGAAAGAGAGUCAAACAGCACGUGAAAUUGUUGAAAGGGAAGCGCUUGCAGCCAGACUUGCUUGCAGUUGCUCAUCCGGGCUUUUGCCCGGUGCACUCUUCUGCAGGCAGGCCAGCAUCAGUUUGGGCGGUGGGAUAAAGGUCUCUGUCACGUACCUCUCUUCGGGGAGGCCUUAUAGGGGAGACGACAUACCACCAGCCUGGACUGAGGUCCGCGCAUCUGCUAGGAUGCUGGCGUAAUGGCUGUAAGCGGCCCGUCUUGAAACACGGACCAAGGAGUCUAACAUCUAUGCGAGUGUUUGGGUGUCAAGCCCGAGCGCGUAAUGAAAGUGAACGGAGGUGGGAACCCGCAAGGGCGCACCAUCGACCGAUCCUGAAGUUUACGGAAGGAUUUGAGUAAGAGCAUGGCUGUUGGGACCCGAAAGAUGGUGAACUAUGCUUGAAUAGGGUGAAGCCAGAGGAAACUCUGGUGGAGGCUCGCAGCGGUUCUGACGUGCAAAUCGAUCGUCAAAUUUGGGCAUAGGGGCGAAAGACUAAUCGAACUAUCUAGUA
rnacentral:rRNA from 1 species